UACAGAGGGUGCGUGCGUUAAUCGGAAUUACUGGGCGUAAGGGGCGCGUAGGCGGUUGUAUAAGUUAGAGGUGAAAUCCCCGGGCUUAACCUGGGAACGGCCUUUAAGACUGUACGGCUAGAGUAGUGUAGAGGGGAGUGGAAUUUCCGGUGUAGCGGUGAAACGCGUAGAUAUCGGAAAGAACACCAGUGGCGAAGGCGGCUCCCUGGACACAUACUGACGUUGAGGCGCGAAAGCAUGGGUAGCAAACAGG
rnacentral:rRNA from 1 species